UUUGCCGACUGAAUGAAUGGAAGUGUUGAGCAGUUUCAAAUAUCUCAUUAGGAUAACUAAGGAGAGGAGGAAACUAAGGCUCAAAAAGGUAGAGAAGCAUCCCCAAGGUCAUACAACUAGUAAGAGAUAGAGGUGGAAUUCCAUCCUGGUCUGACUCUAGAAGCCUGAAGUCUUAAGUUGUAUUGGCCUCUUUGGACAGUGGGCCUUCCCAGAAAGAUUAACUUGUCCAGUUUCCAUGUUUCCCAGAGUCAGGUGGGAGACCCGUAGGCACCAGAUUGCAUAUCCGAGACUGCUUCAAGGAUCAGGCAUUUAAUUCAACAAAUAUUUAUGGAUCACUUACUAUAGGCCUUUCCAUCUCGGGGGACAGAGCUCUGAGCACAAUAGUCAGAUCCCCUAUGUUCAUCAAUAUUUCAUUGUAGUGUGAAAAGACAGACAGUGAAGAAAGGGAUAGAUAAGAUUUAAUAUGGUGGAAAAGUUAUAGCUUGAUUAUCAAAUAGGUAAUCAUCCAUCAUGUGUGUGUGCAGAAGAGAGAGUGGAUGUGGAGGUGAGAGAGAGCUUGCUGGGUUCAGGGAAGUAGGAGUAGUUUGUAAUGGCUGGAGGUAGAAUGAGAUGUAGACUGGGGACUGAGGUGGGAAAUUGGAAAGCAGAAUCCACAAGAAGGUGAGUCACUUAACUUCCCUGAGAUGAAGUGUUCUUUUCAAGAAAAUGGGGAUUUGAAUAUCUGAGAAAAUGCAUGGAAAUGUCUAAGGCUGAAAUCUAAAAACAGUAAUUUUAUUGUUAUGAAGUAAUGUACAUUUAAGAUUCUUUCAUGUCUUUUCAUAUCUUGAGAGUUCAUUUCCUUUUAGCUCUGAAUAAUGUUUCAUUGUCUGGAUGGACCACAGUUUAUCCAUUCACCUACUGAAGACCAUUUAUUGCUUCCAGGUUUUGACAAUUGUGAAUUAAGUUGUUAUAAACAUUUGUAUGCAGAUGUUUAUGUGUUUAUAAGUUUUCAAUUCAGUUGGGUAAAUACCAAGGAGCAUGAUUGCUGGAUCAUAUGGUAAGAGUAUGUUUAGUUUUUUAAGAAGUGCGAAACUGUUUUCCAAACUGACUGCACCAUUUUGCGUACCUACCAGUAGUGAAUGAGAGUUCCUGUUGUUUGACAUCCUCGCCAGCAUUUGGUGUUGUCAGUAUUUCGAUUCGGCCAUCCUAAUAGAUGAAGAAAAUGAGGCAGCAAGGCACUGCUCCGAGUUUAAGAAAUGGGAAUGAGUGGAGAGCUUGGAAAGUGAGAGCCACAAUAUUGGGCCCUUCUGUGGAAGAAGCUGAGUAGCCAGAUCAAGGAAAUGAGGCAGCAGUGAUUUGAGGCCUCUCACUGUUGUGGCCUCUCCUGUUGCGGAGCACAGGCUCCGGAAGCGCAGGCUCAGCGGCCAUGUCUCACGGGCCCAGCCGCUCCGCGGCAUGUGGGAUCUUCCGGACCGGGGCAUGAACCCGUGUCCCCUGCAUCGGCAGGCGGACUCUCAACCACUGUGCCACCAGGGAAGCCCCAUUACAAAGGUUUUAAUAAAACUCCUUUGCCAGCAAAA